UACGAGUGCCCCGAGCGUUAUCCGGAAUUAUUGGGCGUAAAGCGUGUGUAGGUGGUUAUGUUAGUCUCCUGCGAAAUUCUUCGGCUUAACCGGGGCAUGAUGGGAGAAACGGCAUAACUUGAGGGUGCGAGGGGUGAAUAGAACUCUAGGUGUAGGGGUGAAAUCCGUUGAUAUCUAGGGGAAUACCAAAAGCGAAGGCAGUUCACUGGCGCAUUCCUGACACUGAGACACUAAAGCGUGGGUAGCGAAUGGG
rnacentral:rRNA from 1 species